rnacentral:rRNA from 1 species
UACGUAGGGAGCAAGCGUUGUCCGGAAUUAUUGGGCGUAAAGAGCUCGUAGGCGGUUCGUCGCGUCGGCUGUGAAAACCCGGAGCUCAACUCCGGGCCUGCAGUCGAUACGGGCGGACUUGAGUGUUGCAGGGGAGACUGGAAUUCCUGGUGUAGCGGUGAAAUGCGCAGAUAUCAGGAGGAACACCGGUGGCGAAGGCGGGUCUCUGGGCAACUACUGACGCUGAGGAGCGAAAGCGUGGGGAGCGAACAGG